rnacentral:rRNA from 1 species
UACGGGGGGGGGCAAGCGUUGUUCGGAAUUACUGGGCGUAAAGGGCUCGUAGGUGGCCAACUAAGUCGGACGUGAAAUCCCUCGGCUUAACCGGGGAACUGCGUCCGAUACUGGAUGGCUUGAGUUUGGGAGAGGGAUGCGGAAUUCCAGGUGUAGCGGUGAAAUGCGUAGAUAUCUGGAGGAACACCGGUGGCGAAGGCGGCAUCCUGGACCAACACUGACACUGAGGAGCGAAAGCCAGGGGAGCAAACGGG